GGAUGGUUGGCCGAGCGGUCGAAUGCACCCGCUUGCUAGGCGGGCAACCGGCAACGGUUCGCGGGCGCGAAUCCCGCACCAUCCG
rnacentral:tRNA from 1 species